CUUGACGAUGAUGUUAUAGUAAUAGUGCAUAUUUAGAAUAUACAUUAGCAAAUACUUGUGUAGAACUACUGUUCACGCUCCUUUUCGUCUGAUACCCAAGUUACGCCCCUGAUGUUCUAUACCUAAGAAGUAUAUGUUGAAGAGCAAAUAAAUGGCCACACGAAGAGGAUCACAAAAUUGUUUCAGUAAGAUAAACGCAUUGAAAAAGUCAGUAUUUCCUGAGAAGCAGGAAAUGUUUUCUUACAAGUGGAAAAUAAUUGUUUAAUUUGCUUAUAUUAAUGUUACACUACAUAUUAAUACGCCAGAUUUCUUGUAUAAUAAAAUGUUUCCUGCUCCACUGAAUGCAUUUCUUCUUGUAUGAUGGUAAGUAAACAAAUAAUACAAUUUUGAGCUGUGAAAGUUCAUUUAUGGCCUUAAAUAUGGAAAAUAUGCACCGCAUAUUUGGGAAUUUUUUCCGCGGAAGUGACUUCAAAAAUUUCGCUGUAUUUUUAGUUUUUGACCUGCGGAAUUCCAGAAUAUCUGUCUUGCCAGACUUAAUUAAAAAAAAACUUUUAAAAAGUACCAUGCUUCAUUGUGAUCCUUUGAGUUGAGCUAAUCGUUCUUGUUACCCUCGCAAGGGGACUUUGUCCUUCCACUUGAAGCAAAGUUCACUGAAAAAUAGCACAUGCCCCCCACUUUGCUCUUUGAAAGUCAUAGGCGUAUCCUUUGGGGCCUCCCAACACAUCAAGGAGUAGCCUCCACCAAAAAUAUGAAACCAAUACACUAUUUUGCAUAUGUUGUGCUCGGGAUCCUUCAGGAUAUGCUGUAUACCUUGGUCGUAGGCGUCUUCCUGCUUCAUCCAGUCUUUCUCUAACACAAGCUUUCCAUUGGAGGGCCGGUAGCUUGUGCCACGUCGAUACGCCUGUAACAGA